UAACACAGUGGGUGCCAACUAAUGUAUGAAAUAGAGGCCGGGCGCGUUGGCUCACGCCUGUAAUCCCAGCAUUUUGGGAGGCCGGGGCGGCGGAUCACGAGGUCAGGAGAUGGAGACCAUCCUGGCUAACACAGUGAAACCCUGUCUCUACUAAAAAAUACAAAAAUUUAGCCGGGCGUGGUGGUGGGCGCCUGUAGUCCCAACUACUCAGGAGGCUGAGGCAGGAGAAUGGUGUGAACCCAGGAGGCAGAGCUUGCAGUGAGCCAAGAUCGCACCACUGCACUCUAGCCUGGGCGACAGAGCGAGACUCCGUCUCCAAAAAAAACAAAAAAAAAAAAUAGAUUUGAUUUCUGAAGCAGCAGUCUGAGAUUGUCAUAUUUUCCCCAUUUAACACUUGGGGAAAUAUGGUACAGAGAAUUUAAGUGACUUCUUAGAACAAUGCUGUGGAGGUGUAGGUGGGGGAGAGAGAAAGAGGGUGGGGGUGCAGGGGGAGAGAAAGAGGGAGAAGGGAACCUAGAAUUCUAAUGUCAAUUGGAAAACUAUUCUCUAAAAACUCUUAACAGUUCAUCACUCACUACUAUUCCUUGACCUAAAUUUCUAAAUUUCGACAUGAAUGUUUUCCCCAAAUAUUUGAUCAGUAGUAUUCCCCAAAUGUGUAUAUUCUUUAAUCACAUACUCUGCCUUUUCAUAUUACAAUAUCAGUGAGGAUAGCCGCAUGUUGUCUUUUAGUCAGUGAGGGGCAAGAAACUGGAAAAUUUAUCCCCUUUUCAUUACCCUUUUCUUGCAACUUCUCAAAAGCACCACAAAAAGCUCCAUUUGGAACGAGGCAAGUUCAUAAAAGCUAACACUACUUAUUGCCUAAUAUGAAGUUCUCAGCUAAUAAAUGUUCAAGUUGUUCUUUCUGAAUAAGUUGCAACAAAUCCACAGAAGCCAGAGACCGUAUCUAUGCCUGCCUGCAACAUAGCCCCCGGGUCCUCUGAGCACUUCCUGUGUACUCAAACCUCGGGCCAGAUUCCUCAGGCCAAAAAAUAAUACAAGGUGGUUCCUGGCCUUGAACUUACAGUAUGGUUGUGGGGAUUAAACCAACAGAUCUGAUUCAAAUAGAAAACCAGCUUCGCUCACCUUCGAAGGACUAUGUGGUGUGAUCCUGGCUACACACGCACAGCAGCUAAGGAGUGUGGGAACACGUGGAGAUAAGGAGGGACUGGCACUGGAGGGAUUUAGGCAUCAGCGUAAAGGAUUUUUACGCAGUUGAAAAGCAGAGGAAAUGGAUAAUAUUUGGUAUCUCUAUUAAUAAAAAUCCAAAUGUGAUGGAAAUCACAUAUGACAUAGCCAUUUGCAGUUGGGUAAUUUAUUGCAGUGUUUUAGGCAAAACUACACUUUUCUCUCAACUUGAACCUUGUGCCUAAAGAAGGCUUUAGAUGAAAAAUAGCUAUAGUUUACUCCACCCCACCGCUAUGCACGCUCCAUUCACAGUAUUACUGGCAAUGUGUUCAUUCUGCAAGUGAGGGCAUCAGAUCACUUCCAGUUGUGCAGCAUUACAAGUGUUGCAGCCAUGCACAUCUUUGCACACAUAUGCUCUAUUGAGAAGUGAAAUUCCUGGGUCACAGGGGAAUGGCAUCUGUAAUUUUACUGAGUUUAUCCAAGUUGCUUUCCAAAGUAGUUCUAUCAGUUACUCUCCCACCAGUAACGUAGUGUGGAAGUAUGGCCAAAACAAAACGAAACUUUAAAUUACUCUUUUUCU
rnacentral:lncRNA from 1 species